GGGGACUGGAAUCAACAAAUGAUAUCACAGCUCAGCAAGUGCUAAUAAAUCAGUGCUGCUCUGCUCUCCUGCCUCCAUCCCUGCCCUGGGCUGAGGAUUUAUUUGUUUCUGAGCUCAAACAACUCCCCUGCUGGAGCCCAGCCCUCAGGCUGUACCUGGCCAGUCCUCUGCCAGCACCGAGGCGAUUUUCCCUUUCCCUGGGAUGUGGGAAUGGAAGGAACGUGUGUCACACUGGUGAGAGCUCAUUUUGGCAGCCCCACCUUCUGUCCUGCACUAGGAGCUUUGGGAGGGCAGAACUUUCUGGCAGGUGAAGUGCCAUCCUGCAAAGCAGUCACUGAAUUUCCUGCCACAGGCUGGGUGU